rnacentral:rRNA from 1 species
CAAGUCGAACGAUGAAACCGCCCUCGGGCGGACAUGAAGUGGCGAACGGGUGAGUAACACGUGACCAACCUGCCCCUUGCUCCGGGACAACCUUGGGAAACCGAGGCUAAUACCGGAUACUCCUCGCCCCCUCCUGGGGGCCCGGGAAAGCCCAGACGGCAAGGGAUGGGGUCGCGGCCCAUUAGGUAGUAGGCGGGGUAACGGCCCACCUAGCCCGCGAUGGGUAGCCGGGUUGAGAGACCGACCGGCCACAUUGGGACUGAGACACGGCCCAAACUCCUACGGGAGGCAGCAUG